rnacentral:rRNA from 1 species
ACGAACGCUGGCGGCGUGCUUAAGACAUGCAAGUCGAGCGGGGGGACCCAGAGCAGCUUGCUGUGAGGGUUCCCUAGCGGCGGACGGGUGAGUAACGCGUGGGCAACCUACCCGCGAAUCGGGGACAACAGUGGGAAACCGCUGCUAAUACCGGAUGAGCUUUUCUGACCGCAUGGUCGGGGAAGGAAAAGGCAGCCUCUGCAUAGCAAGCUGUCGUUCGCGGAUGGGCCCGCGUCCCAUUAGCUAGUUGGUGGAGGUAACGGCCCACCAA